AUCCAGCUGACGGGUCCCAAAUACGACGAAACGCGCGUCCUGGAU
rnacentral:hammerhead_ribozyme from 1 species